rnacentral:rRNA from 1 species
AGCAGCCGCGGUAAUUCCAGCUCCAAUAGCGUAUAUUAAGGUUGUUGCAGUUAAAAAGCUCGUAGUUGAAUUUCGGGGUUCUACCGUUGGUCGGGCUAUUGUCUGUACUGGCGUGUAGAAUUUCUACCUUCUGGGGAACUAUCAUGUUAUUAAUUUAGCGUGGUAGGAAACCAGGACCUUUACCUUGAAAAAAUUAGAGUGUUCAAAGCAGGCUUAUGUCUGAAUACAUUAGCAUGGAAUAAUAAAAUAGGACGGUGGUCCUGUUUUGUUGGUUUCUGAAUCACCGUAAUGAUUAAUAGGGAUAGUUGGGGGCAUUAGUAUUCAAUUGUCAGAGGUGAAAUUCUUGGAUGUAU